rnacentral:rRNA from 1 species
CCUACGGGAGGCAGCAGUAAGGAAUAUUGGUCAAUGGACGAAAGUCUGAACCAGCCAUGCCGCGUGAAGGAUGAAGGCCCUCUGGGUUGUAAACUUCUUUUAUCUGGGACGAAAAAAGCUCAUUCUUGAGCACUUGACGGUACCAGAGGAAUAAGCACCGGCUAACUCCGUGCCAGCAGCCGCGGUAAUACGGAGGGUGCAAGCGUUAUCCGGAUUUACUGGGUUUAAAGGGUGCGUAGGUGGGCAGGUAAGUCAGUGGUGAAAUCUCCGAGCUUAACUCGGAAACUGCCAUUGAUACUAUUUGUCUUGAAUAUUCUGGAGGUGAGCGGAAUAUGUCAUGUAGCGGUGAAAUGCUUAGAUAUGACAUAGAACACCAAUUGCGAAGGCAGCUCACUACGGGAUUAUUGACACUGAGGCACGAAAGCGUGGGGAUCAAACAGGAUUAGAUACCCUGGUAGUCCACGCCCUAAACGAUGGAUACUCGACAUCAGCGAUACACUGUUGGUGUCUGAGNGAAGANAUAAUAUCCACCNGGAGAGAGUCGCGAGAGUAGUAACGUACGAAAGAAGUUAGACGGACGUUGAGACGAGCCGACGGACGACGACGAGGGAGGAGGG